AUUCAAUAAAAAAUUAUAAAGAUUCAAGCGCAUAUGCAAGUAUAACAACGUACCUAUAUAAUAACAAAAUUGUUUCGAACAAAAAUACAAAACAUAUUUCAAGUAUAUUUCAAGCGUUAUUACAAAUACUGACUAAAAGAUGUCGUUAUCAAACACAACCCGAAACGUGGACUCAUUCCGUCCGUUAACCACCCCUGCACACUGAUUAUUUAUUUAUUUAUUUAUUUAUUAAUACUUAAGUAUAUAAUAAAGUAGGAGACAUAAAAAUAAAGUUCAAAAAAAUAAAUUUGGCAUUCCCGCGUAAUUUCGAAAAUACAUUUCUGAUAGAAAAGAUUAAAAGCUUGUGUAUUGAUCCAUCUGCAUGUGGAUUCACGCGACAACCGCAUUGUAGAUUUAAAAAUUUCACCUAACACGUAGUACAAAUGGCACGGACACCAAAACUCUAAAAUUAAUGGUGUCUUAACAAAGUUUGAAGACCAAACAAACGGAUUUGGAACUGCAAAGCGACACUACAUUUUUUUAUAAUUUACUAAUACCCGAAAAAGCACAAUUCUUCACGAUCACAUAUGUCUGAGAGUGUUACAGCCGAAUUUGUUGACAACAUUCAGUUAGCUGUGCGGUGGUAAAAAUUUUUCACACAAUUUCUACCCAAUCCAUGCACUAAAAUUAAGUACCUAUUUUUCUCAUUGUAGCUAUAUAUUAUUUAUUUAGAACCCAAAAGCUUUAGCCUAAUUUCCUAUCGUCAAUUGCUACUUAGUAUUAGUUUUUUUUGUUAUUCUACAUGUGCGCCUAUCGAGUAGGGUAAAUAUGAACGGAAUGUUUUAAUUUUCUUGCUUUCAUUGCCCUAACGUAAAUAUCAUAAUUUAUCAAGUUAAUCAAGAUGUCAAAUAUUUACUUUUCAAAAUUAAAUGUGUGCUUUGAUAACGAAAAUUAAGUCUUCAGUUAAUGUUUUCGUUGUUUUUACGUAAUUAAGCGAAAGAAUUAAAAGUUGCAUUUUCCGGCUUGAAAAAAUACCGAAAAAAGUCCGUUCGAAAUUAUUGAUAAAUAUUCGGAUACGGCCCUGGAGGGUGUAUCCUUGGCCAGAAACCUCUGCCAGAAGACUCAGAAAACGCCCAAUAAAAUAGUGGGCAUCAUUUGAUUUUCUUUACUUUGCGAAGGAGCGGUGAAAUAGUUGAACGUCGGGAUUUUCAACAAAAUCAAAAAAUUUAAAAAAGACAUUUUCCGACACACGUCAGUAGCCCAGUUUUUUGCGAGUUUAGCAGUUUUCUUUUAAAUUUCACGUA